rnacentral:rRNA from 1 species
GACGAACGCUGGCGGCGUGCUUAACACAUGCAAGUCGAACGGAAAGGCCCUGCUUUUGUGGGGUGCUCGAGUGGCGAACGGGUGAGUAACACGUGAGUAACCUGCCCUUGACUUUGGGAUAACUUCAGGAAACUGGGGCUAAUACCGGAUAGGAGCUCCGGCUGCAUGGUGGGGGUUGGAAAGUUUCGGCGGUUGGGGAUGGACUCGCGGCUUAUCAGCUUGUUGGUGGGGUAGUGGCUUACCAAGGCUUUGACGGGUAGCCGGCCUGAGAGGGUGACCGGCCACAUUGGGACUGAGAUACGGCCCAGACUCCUACGGGAGGCAGUAGUGGGGAAUAUUGCACAAUGGGCGGAAGCCUGAUGCAGCAACGCCGCGUGCGGGAUGACGGCCUUCGGGUUGUAAACCGCUUUCGCCUGUGACGAAGCGUGAGUGACGGUAAUGGGUAAAGAAGCACCGGCUAACUACGUG